UACGUAGGGACCAAGCGUUGUUCGGAUUUACUGGGCGUAAAGGGCGCGUAGGCGGCCACCGCAAGUCGACUGUGAAAUCUCCGGGCUUAACCCGGAAAGGUCAGCCGAUACUGCGGGGCUAGAGUGCAGAAGGGGCAACUGGAAUUCUCGGUGUAGCGGUGAAAUGCGUAGAUAUCGAGAGGAACACCUGCGGCGAAGGCGGAUUGCUGGGCUGACACUGACGCUGAGGCGCGAAAGCUAGGGGAGCGAACGGG
rnacentral:rRNA from 1 species